rnacentral:rRNA from 1 species
CAGGCCUAACACAUGCAAGUCGAACGAAGAUUGCCUUCGGGUAAUACUGAGUGGCGAACGGGUGCGUAACACGUGAGGAACCUGCCCCGAAGACUGGGACAACCACGGGAAACUGUGGCUAAUACCAGAUGCCCCCCGCUGGUCGCAUGAUCGGCAGAGGAAAUGCUCCGGCGCUUCGGGAGGGUCUCGCGGCCUAUCAGCUAGUUGGUGAGGUAACGGCUCACCAAGGCAUCGACGGGUAGCUGGUCUGAGAGGACGAUCAGCCACACUGGGACUGAGACACGGCCCAGACUCCUGCGGGAGGCAGCAGUGGGGAAUCUUGCGCAAUGGGCGAAAGCCUGACGCAGCAACGCCGCGUGGGGGAUGAAGGCUCUCGGGUUGUAAACCCCUUUCAGCAGGGACGAAAUUGACGGUACCUGCAGAAGAAGCCCCGGCCAACUACGUGCCAGCAGCCGCGGUGACACGUAGGGGGCGAGCGUUGUCCGGAAUUAUUGGGCGUAAAGAGCUCGUAGGCGGUUUAGUAAGUCAGAUGUGAAAGGUUGGGGCUCAACCCUAAGACUGCAUCCGAUACUGCUAUGACUAGAGUCCGG